rnacentral:rRNA from 1 species
GAUGAACGCUGGCGGCGUGCCUAAUACAUGCAAGUCGAGCGAACGGACGAGAAGCUUUCUUCUCUGAUGUUAGCGGCGGACGGGUGAGUAACACGUGGAUAACCUACCUAUAAGACUGGGAUAACUUCGGGAAACCGGAUCUAAUACCGGAUGAUAUUUUGAACCGCAUGGUUCAAAAGUGAAAGACGGUCUUGCUGUCACUUAUAGAUGGAUCCGCGCUGCAUUAGCUAGUUGGUAAGGUAACGGCUUACCAAGGCAACGAUGCAUAGCCGACCUGAGAGGAUGAUCGGCCACACUGGAACUGAGACACGGUCCAGACUCCUACGGGAGGCAGCAGUAGGGAAUCUUACGCAAUGGGCGAAAGCCUGACGGAGCAACGCCGCGUGAGUGAUGAAGGUCUUCGGAUCGUAAAACUCUGUUAUUAGGGAAGAACAUAUGUGUAAGUAACUGUGCACAUUUUGACGGUACCUAAUCAGAAAGCAACGGCUAACUACGUG